rnacentral:rRNA from 1 species
AUUGAACGCUGGCGGAAUGCUUUACACAUGCAAGUCGAACGGCAGCACGGACUUCGGUCUGGUGGCGAGUGGCGAACGGGUGAGUAAUACAUCGGAACGUGCCCAAUCGUGGGGGAUAACGUAGCGAAAGCUACGCCAAUACCGCAUACGAUCUAAGGAUGAAAGCGGGGGAUCGCAAGACCUCGCGCGAUUGGCGCCGCCGAUGGCAGAUUAGGUAGCUGGUAGGGUAAAGGCCCACCAAGCCAACGAUCGGUAGCUCGUCGGAGAGGACGACCAGCCACACUGGAACUGAGACACGGUCCAGACUCCGACGGGAGGCAUCAGUGGGGAAUUUUGGACAAUGGGCGAAAGCCUGAUCCAGCCCUUCCGCGUGCAGGAUGAAGGCCCUCGGGUUGUAAACUGCUUUUGUACAGAACGAAAAGGUUUCUACUAAUACUAGGAGCUCAUGACGGUACUGUAAGAAUAAGCACCGGCUAACUACGUGCCAGCCGCCGCGGUAA